rnacentral:lncRNA from 1 species
CCUCAGGCUGCAGGGGCUUCCUUGGAAACGGAGUGGCCCCCAGCUGUGGGAACUUCUUGGAGAGGUCACUCAACUCCAGUUUGGACGGCUUCUUGGGGAGGUCAGUGACCUCAGGCGGCGGGGGCUUCUUGGGGAGGUCAGUGACCUCAGGCGGCGGGGGCUUCAAGGACACUGCACCAAACUCAGGCAGCGGGGCCUUCUUGGGGUGCUCGCUUAGCUCAGGCUGGGAGAACUUC